UCCUAAGAGCUGGUAAACUGGCUGGGAUCUCUGGGAGCUGUAGGCCAAAACCAUCUGGGGACCCCUGGUUGAGAACCAUUGAUUUAAAAAGUCAAUUUGAAAAAAUAAGACUGCCUCUGAAAACAAGUUCUAAUGCAUCUUUGGAGCAAAUGUUAAUAUAAGACCCUGUCUUAUUUUGGGGAAAACAGGGUAAGUACAUUUAUUCCAAUAUCUCAAAUUCUUUUUGCUCAGAAGUAUAGGUGAACCGAUUAAUAACAUUGCUAUAGUUCUUAUAGAUAAAUAACUACAACAAGUACUCUUCAAUUGAUGGGUUUUUAACAGCUUAAUCCAGUUUAAUUUAUCCAAGUGUGAGCUUUUGAACCUAGGUGGUUGUAAAUCUUAAAUCUCCGUUGAUCCCACCCUCUUUGGAAGCACUUUGACCUUGUGCUGAAUGGAAUAGUGCCAGCCAAAUCUCAGUUGAAACAAAAUCCACAAAGGAGUGGAUAACUUCUUCAGAACAAGGGCCUGCACAUUCUCCUAUUAGAUUUGGGAGGAUUCAACCUCUCUUAAUGUCCUCUCAACCCUAUUUUUUAAAUUAUAAUUUUUAAAAGGGAGCACUACACUGGACCACGUGGUCAAGAGACCACAUUGGCAAUUUUGCUUCCAAUUCUGAAGAUAGGAAACGCUUUCUAGUUCUAAAAGAGCUCCAAGGGAGAAGAAGAUAGUGAGAUCCAUCCCACAAUGUCUACAUCACAAAAGAUAUUUGGAAAAAAGGAUGGGUUGGAAUGCAUUGGAUUUCUUGGGCAGGAUUCAGUUUGCUCAUGAGCUGGAUUCUGCCUUAUAAUUCAUGGAAACUGUGUGCAAUGUACAUGAUCACAAUAGUGAAAUAGAGCAACGUAAAGCAGCUGCAGAUAGUGAGAUCCGGGCCAUGGAUAGCGAAACCUGAAGCACAAAUAUCAAGUCCCGUUUAAGCAGGUGUCCUGUACCGGCAACGGGCCGCCUGUAGAUCUGUGCACCUGGCAAGACAAAGAAGCUAAAUCCAAUGUUUGCCAAUCGAGAAAUCUCGCCAGUUGAAGAAGAAGCCACCGAGGUAUUUUAUUCAAGUCAGCUGAUUUGGAUGCCAGCUCGCAGUAAGCCGCCGAGCUGGCAUUGCAAAAACAAGCAUUUUAGAUAUUCAAAACCUUUGUCUUUCCCAUGGCUGCCCCAGCUGGAGCCACCUUCAUGCUGACUGGAGGAGCUUUGUUGACGUCAUAGCCAGCUGGGGAGGAUUCCCUUGGAGAGGAGAGUCUGUGGUGCCCGACAACCAAUCAGAGAAUGUUCCCUGCUUCCGAUGCAGAUUUCUGCUCUCCAAUGGCUAUGGGGGAAAGGAUGGUCCAGGAGACAAAGAAAUAUAAGGUGUUCUGAAUGGGUUACUGUUGUCCCAGCAGAGAGACACAACAAAGAGGUUCCAUGCCAUCAGGUCGGCUUGGAGUUAUAGCAACCUUAUGAAUGAAAGACCUCAAAGUCACCCUGUCCCCAAUAGCUCUGCUCAGGUCUUACAGAGUCAGGAAAGCAUUACAACAUCAUCAUCUACUGGCAGAAUCCCAGGCAUAUGUUUCCAUGAUGAUUCUCAAAAACAUUGUGUGUACAGAAAAAAGGAACAACACACAAAAAAGAACAAAACUACCCUCCACACACAGACACAGUCUAAGAAUCCAGAACAAAAAAUUAAACAUGCUACAGGGA